UAUUGAUGAUUCCUUAGGCAUGUGAAGACAAAGCCUGUACAAUGGAUUCUGUGGGUCAAAUCCUGAGUCGACAAGAUAAAGAUGGAUGGUAUACACAAUAGAAAAAGAAGGCAUAUGAAACAAUGAAACCAAAGAGAAUACGAGAGGAGGAGAUACUUCGUCUAAUGGAAGAAAAGAAACAACUGAAAGAACAAGGAAGCUGUUUACAGCUGCUUCAAAAGCUGAAGGUGCUGAGAUGAAAAAAUAUAAGAUGGAGAUGCAGAAGUGGGAAACGGGGAAAUAUACUCUAAAAUCCAUUGUAGGUGAAAUUGACAAAAACGUGGUUGAAUUGGGAUCAAUUGGAGCUUAGGACAUCUGGUCACAAGGUUUGCAGAAAAAGGGGUUACAUAUUGCACGACGUCAAACCCCAUGGAAAGAACUAUUGUAUGGACUACGGUAGUUCCUAAAGAAACUUAUGUGAUUUCUGAAGAUGCCUUGGAGACAAGCAAAAGAGAACUAGGAAGCAAAUGAGGAAAAGCAAUAUCGACGAAAGAAGAAAAAAGAAAUGA